rnacentral:lncRNA from 1 species
UGGGGUGCGGUGGAGUUAAGGCGUUGGGGCCGGACGUGCGGCACCAGGAAGAAGAAGGAGGAGGAGAGAGAAGAAGGAAGGAGGAAGAAGAAAGAAGAAGGAGGAAGAAAGGAAGAAGGAAAAGAAAAAGAAAAGGGGAGGGAAAAAGUGAAAGAAAAAGAGAGGGACCGGCGGCGAUUGCGGCACGCGGUCGAAGCACGCGCGCGGCGUCUGGCGACGGCACGCAGCGAAAAAAAUACGAGCGCGGAUAAAAAAGGUAGGGGUCGGCAUGGGUGCCGGGACGGCGAAAUCGCCGGGGGGGAUUCUCGAUUUCCGGGAGCUCAGCGGUAAAAAGAUUUGCAAAUCGAUUUUUUAACGGAUGGUUUUAGUUGGUGAUUUCUGCGGAUGUUACAAA